UACGGGGGGAGCAAGCGUUGUUCGGAUUUACUGGGCGUAAAGGGCGCGUAGGCGGUCGUGACAAGUCACUUGUGAAAUCUCCGGGCUUAACUCGGAACGGUCAAGUGAUACUGUCGGACUAGAGUACAGAAGGGGCAACUGGAAUUCUCGGUGUAGCGGUGAAAUGCGUAGAUAUCGAGAGGAACACCAGUGGCGAAGGCGGCCAACUGGUCCGAUACUGACGCUGAGGCGCGAAAGCGUGGGGAGCAAACAGG
rnacentral:rRNA from 1 species